UACGGGGGGGGUAAGCGUUGUUCGGAAUUACUGGGCGUAAAGGGCUCGUAGGCGGCCAACUAAGUCGGACGUGAAAUCCCUCAGCUUAACUGGGGAACUGCGUCCGAUACUGGAUGGCUUGAAUUCGGGAGAGGGAUGCAGAAUUCCAGGUGUAGCGGUGAAAUGCGUAGAUAUCUGGAGGAAUACCGGUGGCGAAGGCGGCAUCCUGGACCGACAUUGACGCUGAACGGCGAAAGCUAGGGGAGCAAACGGG
rnacentral:rRNA from 1 species